rnacentral:tRNA from 1 species
GCCCUGGUGGUGUAGUGGUUAAGCACUCAGCUGCUAACUGAAAGGCUUGUGGUUUGAUUCCACCCAGCGGCU